GAUCAUGGCUCAGGAUGAACGCUGGCGGCGCGCCUAACACAUGCAAGUCGAACGAGUAAGACGCCUUCGGGCGUGGAUAGAGUGGCGAACGGGUGAGUAACACGUGACCAACCUGCCCCCUCCUCCGGGACAACCUCGGGAAACCGAGGCUAAUACCGGAUACUCCGGGCCCCCCGCAUGGGGGCCCGGGAAAGCCCUGGCGGGAGGGGAUGGGGUCGCGGCCCAUCAGGUAGACGGCGGGGUAACGGCCCACCGUGCCUGCAACGGGUAGCCGGG
rnacentral:rRNA from 1 species